GUUCAGACCAAGCAAGAUAUUACAAGUGCCAGAAGUUUGGCCAAACAUCUUGGGAUCUGUCCCUCAGGAGAGUGGAGUCUCCCAGGCAAGAGCUUCGAUGUCUAGGGAGCAGCAGUUAUUGUGAGCAGUAGUGGGUCAACAAUAAGCUUGAUUAUUCGGACUGCAAUGCCAUCCUGUACAGUAAACACUGAGCUGAAGGAUUUUUCGACAGUGUUUCAGCUACUACGAUCAUUUACCUUCUCAAAAUAAUCAUGCUGCACAACAAUAUGUCAUCCACAUUGUCUUCAUCUAGUGAAAUUACGAGUGAUGUUCAGCACCAUUUUACCAAGAUGGAAGAAAAAGGAAAAGGCCACUAAAGACAGCAAAUAAUUAGCAUUGAUUCUGGCACAUCAUGAAACAUGAAGAGACAUCUAAACUUGAAGCACUCUACAGUACCUCUGGAAUGAUGUGGGUCAGCAAGCCAUCAACCAAUGCAGAAAUUCAAGAAAUUAUUUCUCGUCAGCCAUUCUCACUGACAUCAGCUUCCACCUCUGGUAAAGGUAUCCAACCAGAAAGGCAAGUGUGUCUCAGCUGUAUCCAGCCCAUCAGUGUCAUCAGUUUCUGGAACAAGUCCUGAUUUGUUUCCUUUUGUGGUGGCCUCAUCCUCAACUGCUUUUCAUUUACAACAGCCAAUAAGUAAUUUAAUUUUUUUUUUAAUAUUGUAAAGCCC